UACAGAGGGGGCAAGCGUUGUUCGGAAUUACUGGGCGUAAAGGGCGCGUAGGCGGCCUUCUAAGUCGAACGUGAAAUCCCUGGGCUCAACCCAGGAACUGCGUCCGAUACUGGAAGGCUUGAAUCCGGGAGAGGGAUGCGGAAUUCCAGGUGUAGCGGUGAAAUGCGUAGAUAUCGGAAGGAACAUCAGUGGCGAAAGCGGCUUCCUGGACCAGCACCGACGUCAGCACGAAAGCGUGGGGAAGCAAACAGGG
rnacentral:rRNA from 1 species